rnacentral:misc_RNA from 1 species
GUUUUAGUUGUACAUUAUGCACAAUAGACAUUCCAUUACAUUCAAGAGUGUGUAAAGUUACUCGAGUGCCAGGCCCGGUGAGGGGCCACGCAAAGCGGCACUCAGAGUCAUAGAUGCACAGGUGUGUGGGGUUUUGCGACCCGUUCGACGUGCACAUGUGGGGGGGUCUCCCCCCACCAGCAACAGAAGAACAAAGCCGACUUUUGAAGUUUCACUAAUGAUCCUUCCGCAGGUUCACCUACGGAAA